rnacentral:rRNA from 1 species
UACGUAGGGUGCAAGCGUUAAUCGGAAUUACUGGGCGUAAAGCGUGCGCAGGCGGUUUUGUAAGCCAGAUGUGAAAUCCCCGGGCUUAACCGUGAAACUGCCUUUGAUACUGCAGAUCUUGAGUUUGGGAGAGGUUGAUGGAAUUCCAGGUGUAGCGGUGAAAUGCGUAGAUAUCUGGAAGAACACCAGUGGCGAAGGCGGCUCACUGGCCCGAUACUGACGCUGAGGCACGAAAGCGUGGGGAGCAAACAGG